GACGGGGGAGUGCGACCAGGUCCUAUUGAAUUUGGUCAGGCCCUGACGGGAGCAGCCAUAGACGGUCGACCGGUGCGAUACUCCAUCCGUCAUU
rnacentral:SRP_RNA from 1 species